AUACGGAGGAUGCAAGCGUUAUCCGGAUUUAUUGGGUUUAAAGGGUGCGUAGGCUGAGGAGUAAGUCAGGGGUGAAAUGCCGCAGCUCAACUGCGGAACUGCCUUUGAUACUGCUUUUCUGGAGUCCGGAUGCCGUGGGAGGAAUGGGCAGUGUAGCGGUGAAAUGCAUAGAUAUUGCCCAGAACACCGAUUGCGAAGGCAUCUCACGAAUCCGGCACUGACGCUGAGGCACGAAAGCGUGGGGAUCAAACAGGAUUAGAUACCCUGGUAGUCCACGCAGUAAACGAUGGUAACUAACCGUCGGCGAUAGACAGUCGGUGGCCAAGCGAAAGCGAUAAGUUAUCCACCUGGGGAGUACGUUCGCAAGAAUGAAACUCAAAUGAAUUGACGGGG
rnacentral:rRNA from 1 species